CCUGAGAGGUGGAUGGUCAAGGAACAGAGGUCCCAGGAGAGGAGGCUUCAGGAACAGAGGGAGCUACAAAUGUUUUGCAGGGACGGGUUGCCUUGGAAUAUUCCUUCUUCUGGAGAAGGUCGGCAGAAUCUAGAGCAUAUUUGUGUACAAACUACGUUAGUCACCUUGAGGAGAUUAACAGAUGACUUACCCACCCAAAUAUUCAAAGAUGGCAUGAGGGUUUGGCCCAUCGCUCUGCAGAAAGAACCUCUAUUUAAGUCCCUUGUUAAAUAUUGGCAAGAAUGCAGCUGAAUGGAGAUGCAACUGCUAGGCUGCUUAUCAUCAAGAAGGAAUGAGUGGCUCUUCAGGUGAAAGUGUUGAAUCCACUGCUAUUGUGUAGCGGGAUUCCGUCCGCUCCUCUGAACUCCUCUGCAAUGUCAUCAAACGUGCGGCCUUUUGUCUC